UUUUCUUCAAUCUGAAUUUCAUGACCCAUUUAUAGCAAACGAGUCGACCCACCUAGAAUAAAAUAAAAAGCAAAUCACAUAUACAUCUUCUAAAAUAAUUUGAAACACAAAUAAAUUCACAUGUGUUGUUGCUAAACAAAUAAGGACCAAUUGUUUUUUGCUUGUCAUGUGUCAUAGUUUAAUUUACUAAACUGACCUUAUACAAAAUAAAUCAAAUUAAAUCAGACUCCACCAUGUAUUGUUUUAGCUGCUACUGCACUUCUGGAAUGUUGUUGCUACUACACUUCCAAUAAAUGCAGUAGCAGAUUUUUAGUGGUUCAACUAGUGCAGUAACAGCUUCAGUAACUACUAUAGCAGGUUUUCAGUGGCUCAACUAAUGUAGUAGCAUGUUAAACUGGAGAGUUAGCUGCUACUACAGUUUUAACAAAUGUAGUAGCAGGGUUUUAAUGGUUUAGCUAGUGUAGUAGCAGCUUCAGUAAGUGCAGUAGUAGGUUUUUAGUGGCCCAGCAAAUGCAGUAGCAGCUAUUUUCAAUACGUGAUGUAGUAGCAGGUUUUUAUUGGUUCAGCUAGUGUAGUAGCAGCUUCAGUAACUAACUAUAGUAGUAGGUUUUCAGUGGCUCAAUUAAUGUAGUAGCAUGUUAAACUGGAGAGUUAGCUGCUACUACAGUUCCAACAAAUGUAGUAGCAGGGUUAUAAUGGUUCAGCUACUGUAGUAGCAGCUUCAGUAAGUGCAAUAGCAUGUUUUUAGUGACUCAACAAAUGUAGUAGCAGCAGCAGCUAUUUUCAGUACGUGAUAUAGUAGCAGGU
rnacentral:lncRNA from 1 species